GGGUGGGGCAGAGACCAGAGGGUCUUGAAUAGCAGUGAAAGAGUCUGAACAUUAAAACAGGGGAAGGAAAGUAAAGGAUUUAAAUGCGGGAACACAAUCAGAUCUGUUUUAGGAAAAUCUCUCUGUACUCCAAUACUUCUAUUAGAUUUUUAUCUUUUUCUGACAGAAACUGUUUACUCGUUUGCCUAAACAGGUUGUGGUUGAAGGAAGAGGGAAACGUGGCCACAAGGCCCGGAGAGCUGCUCUAAACCAGGGGCUGGUGGCCUAGGGAGUACUGUGCGCAAC